rnacentral:rRNA from 1 species
AGAGUUUGAUCCUGGCUCAGGACGAACGCUGGCGGCGUGCCUAACACAUGCAAGUCGUACGCGGUGGCAACACCGAGUGGCGAACGGGUGCGUAACACGUGAGGAACCUACCCCGAAGUGGGGGAUAACACCGGGAAACCGGUGCUAAUACCGCAUACGCUCCCCGGACCGCAUGGUCCAGGGAGCAAAGCCUCCGGGCGCUUCGGGACAGCCUCCCGGCCUAUCAGCUUGUUGGUGGGGAAACGGCCCACCAAGGCGACUACGGAUAGCUGGUCUGAGAGGACGAUCAGCCACACUGGGACUGAGACACGGCCCAGACUCCUACUGGAGGCAGCAGUGGGGAAUAUUGCUCAAUGAGCGAAAGCCUGACGCAACAGCGCCGCGUGUAGGACGAAGGCCUUCGGGUUGUGAACUCCUUUCAUGAGGGACGAAACUGACUGUACCCGCACAAGAAGACCCGGCUAACUACGUGCCACCAGCCGCGGCUAGACGUACGGGGCGAGCGUUGUCCGGAUUUACUGUGCGUGGAGAGCUCGUAGGCGGCUUGGCGAGUCGGAUGUGAAAUCACCAGGAUCAACCUGAUGUCUUCAUCCGAUACUGCCAUGGCUUCGAGUACGGUAGAGGACCGUGGACUUCCUGGUGUAGCGUUGAAAUGCGCAGAUAUCAGGAGGAACACCGAUGGCGAAAGCAUUCGUCUGGGGCCGGUACUGACCCUGAAGAACGAAAACGUGUGGAGCAAACAGCAUAGAUACCCUGGGAAGCCA